AAGAGGGAUCUAGGGUUUCAUCGUAAACUUUGCCGCCGCCUCCCCUUCUUCAAACCGGCUCACCAGCGCAUGGACACCGGCAUCAGACGGUUUACUGGAGCUGCAUUUCGGCAAGGGCACCGGCUUCAGCACAUCCACGAGACAACCUUUUCCACACCUAUCCCUCACGCAGGUCACCCCCCCGACCGAGAUCCAAUACCACCCAGCAAACGCAUGUCGCCACCUAUCCCUCACGCAGCCACCGUGGGGUUGCCGUGUGCUGGGCAGGCCAGCCACAUCUACAACCAAAGCAUUUUCAAGAAAACUACUCUGUUAUAUGCUCUGUUUUAAGCUCUGGAACCAGAGCGUUUUCAAGAAACCCGACCGGGAGCAACCGACCGAGAACCUCCGUCACUUUCUUUCUUUCUCCGUUCACUCCUCCGACCACUUCUCGUGCGUGGCCAUCACUACUUUUCAACUCUUUCAUCAGCCGGAAAAAGGGGGAGAGAGGGGAAUGAGCCACCGGGAGUUUGGCCUAUGCGCAGAGCCACCGUAUCACCACAGUCCCUCACCAAGCAAACUUAUUCUAAGAACCAGGAAACCAGAGAAAAACUAGCUAGCAAAACAGAAAAAUAAAGCAGAAAAAAAGAGAGGGGAGGAGGGGGGGAGGGGAGGAGGGAGCCGAGGCUCCCACCUCCCUGUUGGACGGCGCUUCUUUAGGAGGUUUUCUCAAGCCUCUAGAGAGAAGAAGCGGGACGAAAUCUUUUCAUGAUCAGAAAAGAUCUUGAUUGGGUAUAUACGGUACAUUCAUACCCAUUUCUCCUUUCCCUAGCAAGAGUGGAAAUUGGACCGCUGCGAAGGAAUUUCUCGAGGGUAGGCCCAAUGCAGUGGGCUCGAGAAUCACACACGGGCUACACGGCUCUUCACAUUGCUGUUGCUGCUGGACAUUUUCGUGUAGUGGACGAGUUGGUAAAAAAGCUGAUGCCAGAACAGAACUUGGAAACCCUCGAUUAUGAUGGUUUCUCAGCCCUAACUGAGGCAGCUGUUGGUGGAAAAAAAACUAUGGCACAGUGCAUGCUUUGCAAGAACGAGAAGUUAAUCAGCAUUGCGAGUUCGGCUGGAAUUCUUCCGGUUAAUACGGCCAUUUCUUUUGGGCACACAGAAACGGCUCGCUAUUUGUAUUCUCUCACUCCGCUGGAAGAUUUGAUGCCGGAAAGUGGCUAUAACGGUGCUAAUCUUUUUAUUGAUGCUAUAUCUGCGGGAACCUUAGAUAUUGCUUUGGAUUUAUUACAGCGUUGCCCACGUUUGAUAUUUGCUUAUAACGGGUUUGGAAACUACCCCUUGGUGGCAUUGGCUUCUACGCCUCAUUUAUUCCCUAGUGGAAGUCGGCUUGUGUUUUAGAAACGAUGGAUCUACAAGUAAUGUAUCCACAUCCAAUCAUCUGGUUCUAUCCUCAAUGAAACUCAUUUGAACAUUCCAAAAGGAGACAAACACCAAAGGGAUCAAGUAAACACGAUCAUAUUAGGAUUUUGCUAGCUUUGUCUGCAACGGCCCUGCGGGAGAACAGGUUGGUGGACAAGUUUGUCCAAAGUAUUAAAAACAAUCAAAACAUUUUUAAAACAAUCAGUUAAAUGAGAACAAGAUGAGCAAAGCAAACAACCAAUGGAGUCAAAAAUUGAUGCUCUGAAAAACAGCGAAAAGGAUUUAUUACCAAUAAGAUCUGCCCGAAAACUGUUUUUCAGGAUUUUCCAUUAACAUUAAAGAUGGUUUUCUUGAAACUGGUCCUUAUUGAAACUAAGAUUUUUGAGCUCUAUGUGGAAGGUAGUCAAUUGGUGCGUAUUGUAGAACGAGGUAGAAAGGUGGUGAAAGAGCUGGGCUAAGUCUUAUUCGAAGGGUAAACCAACAUUUGGCUGGGCUAAGAGGUAUCCUUGGGUUAUGUAAGGGAGAUAGAAGUAUCCGUGGGGCUUGUACCUCACGGGCCAUAAAAGGGAAGGGACCAACCCAUAUGGCCUUAAGACACAUAACCCAGUGUUUGUGGGCUAAAAACAACCCAGUCACCAAGAAAGGGCCCAACCCUUCCUUAAACCUACCCUCUAGAAUCGAGAAACCACCGCCAGAGCUGAUGAACUAUCAGAUAGGGACAACACAGAAUGGGUCGACGGAUGUGGGUGAUUUGGUGGAUGAUGUCUUCUUCGUCACUAUGGUGGCCCUGGCAUGAAGAUUCUCGAGGAAAUUGUACCUUUUUCGAUACUCGAGGAAGUUGUACCUGUUUCGAAGUUGUUUCUGGAUUGAAGUUGAACUUGGCCAAAUCAGAUGUAGUUUUGGUGGGGCCAGUGCAUAAUGUGGAUGGUAUGAUUUCUAUCUUGGGAUGUAAGAUAUCUCAUUUACCCAUGAAAUAUCUUGGCCUCCCAUUGGGUGCUCAUUACAAAUUGAUAUCCAUUUGGAAUGAUCUCCUAGAAAAGAUGGAGCGGAAACAUGCUAGUUGGAAGUGGAUGUAUUUAUCAAAAGGUGGUAGAGUCACACUCAUCAAAAGUACCCUAUCCUAUCUACUGGCUUAUUUCCUCUCUUUAUUUCUGCUUCCAUCAAAGGUGGCUUACCGAUGGAAACAAUACAGCAAGAUCUCCCAUGGGGAGGGAUAUGAUGUGUUCAAAUUUCAUCUGGUGAAAUGAGUCACCAUUUGUUCCCCAAUUUCCGAAGGAGGUUUGGGUAUCCUAAAUAUGCAGCUUUUUAAUAAGGUGCUGUUGGGCAAAUAGCUAUGGAGAUAUCCCCUAGAACAUGGAGUUUUGUGGAGAAGUUUUAGACUUAAAAGUACGGUAGAGCAUGGGGAGGUUGGUGCUCGAAUGAGGUGAGUGGAUCCUAUAGGGUGGGGCUUUGAAAGCACAUCAGAUGUGGAUGGACUAUAUUUUCUAGUUUUACCUGUUUUGAGGUGGGUGACAGGUUCUGAAUCAAAUUCUAGUAUGACAUAUGGUGUGGUGACAGGGCCCUUAAUGAAGCUUAUCCAGGCUUCUUUGGUAUAGCAAGAAUGAAGAAAGCCUCGAUUGCAGACCUCCUUGACCAAUCUAAUAGCAUUCCCCAAUGGAAUGCCACAUUUCUUAGAGCUGUCCAUGAUUGGGAUGUUGAAGCAAUUUUUGAAUUUUACAUCCUAGUCUAUCCUGACCCUAUGGGGGAGGUGUCGCGAAGACAAGCUUUUUUGGUGCUCCUGGGCGAAAGGGAGUUCAUAGUACGCUCCUUCUACCAAUCCAUCUCUAAGUGUAAUAUAAAUCGAUUCCUGUGCAAAAGCAUUUGGAAGACUUAGGCCCCCCUAGGAGGCAUCCUUUUUUGUAUGGACAGCUUCUUUGGGGAAGAUUCUCACUAUUGACAACCUAAGAAAACGCCGAAUCAUAGUCUUAGAUUGGUGUUGUUUGUGUAAAAAGAACGGAGAAUCCGUCAAUCAUCUACUAAAAAGAGCGGAAUGACUUUUGCUAGGAUAGGAUGGGUGUAGCUUGGGUGAUGCCAAGAAAGGUGAUCGGCCUCUUAUCUUCAUGGAGAGAACUUCUCAGAUUGCCGCAAUUUGGAAGGUUGUUCCAAUCUGCCUAUGGUGGUGUCUUUGGAGGGAUAGGAACGAGCGAAACUUCAAAGAUCAUGGGCGGUCAUUGGAUGAACUCAGAACUUUCUUUUGUAACACCUUGUUCCAAUGGUCGAUUAUAAUUGAUUUUAAUGGCAUUUCCAUUCAUGAACUUCUUGUAUCACCAAAACAUCACUCCUAGGGGUUGCUCUUGUAUGUGAACCGUGUACUUGGGCUUUUGCCUAUUCCUACUAUCAAUAAAAUCUUAUUUGUGUUUCAAAAAUACAAUAAAAUAAAAUAAAAUCUUAUUUCCGGAUAAAACAAAUCUGUCCAAAAAUGUUCUGGAAUUUUCUAUUCUUCAAAUCCAUCUGGAGCUCAACCAAAUAAAUCACCCAAAUUGAAACAAAAAAUCCCCGCAUAUCGUAAAAACCAACCAAAUAAACCCAAAAAAUAAAAACCUCAAAUCUAGACAUAUUAACAUAACAGCAAAUGAAAAAAAAUAAAGUUAUGGGUGAGCCAGAUCAACUCCCAUUUCUUACAUUUACAUGCAUAUCAGUAUUAAUCACUAUCUUAUCUGAUGUGUUGUUGAAUUUCAUCUCGUCCUAUACUUCUUUUGCAUGCAUAUCUGAUUUUUCCUGCAUCCAAUCCACAACUAGAGUUUCUAAUGUUUUUAGAAAUAUAUAUCAUGUUAUAUUAUCAUAUUAAACAACUUAAAACUAUUGGGUCUUAAUCUACUGCUAUAAUAUUAAACACUAGAAGGGACAUUUACGGACAAUAGUUCAAUAAAAUAUGGAUAUGAUACAAUAGUUACAAUAAACCAAUAUUUAAAGUGAUUGCUAGCGCCUUCUAACUAAGUGGAGGUUAGUACUCUCCACACGAGUGGUGACAAUGAUUCCAAAUUUAAAAUAAUUACAAAUAACAAAUAUUUAAAGGGAUUGCUAGCCUCCUUUGCUCAUUGCAUUUCUAAUGGCAUACCAUGUAAUGAGGAACGUCUACUGAAAUGAUAAGAUUAUAAUCUUCAAGAAAGAUGGGUAGGAUCCGGAUGGCUUCAAGACCAUAAUCUAUCGCCAAAAUGCAUUCAAAACCCAUCUAACUAGAGGCGGAGUGGGACUAAGUACCAUCAUGGUCAUGCUUGAAGAUUAAUGACACUAACUAAAUAAGGUCAAUUUUCAAAAAAUUUCAAUGAGAACUACAUUAAAAUGAUAGUACUCCUUAUUUAAGAUAAUAAGACUAAUAUUGAUGCCUGUGUUCUAGAUUUAGCAUAUUCUAUAAAUUUCCUUUGACUUACCAGAAAAGGAGAUUUUAAUGGGAAUAUGCACAAAUUCUUUUCUCUUUCAGUGGAAUAUAAAUAUUUUAUUAGUUUCCAGUAAUAAUUUUCUAAUGUGUUUAAAGUAAGAAAUUAAUAUAUAUAUAUAUAUAUAUUUUUUU